AAGGAAUAUUGGUCAAUGGACGAAAGUCUGAACCAGCCAUGCCGCGUGAAGGAUUAAGGCCCUCUGGGUUGUAAACUUCUUUUAUAUGGGACGAAAAAAGGGAAUUCUUUCUCACUUGACGGUACCAUAGGAAUAAGCACCGGCUAACUCCGUGCCAGCAGCCGCGGUAAUACGGAGGGUGCAAGCGUUAUCCGGAUUCACUGGGUUUAAAGGGUGCGUAGGUGGGUUUGUAAGUCAGUGGUGAAAUCUCCGAGCUUAACUCGGAAACUGCCAUUGAUACUAUAGAUCUUGAAUUAUCUGGAGGUGAGCGGAAUAUGUCAUGUAGCGGUGAAAUGCUUAGAUAUGACAUAGAACACCAAUUGCGAAGGCAGCUCACUACGGGAAUAUUGACACUGAGGCACGAAAGCGUGGGGAUCAAACAG
rnacentral:rRNA from 1 species